ACAGUGGGAGAAAAGCGGAAAAAAUGAAUCAUCAAGACGACACUGAUCCUUGGUUUUCUCAAAGGCCACAAGCGCCCCCUUGGGAUGCAGCAGAGUACAAUCAACUCAUUUUCGCAGGGCCAUUGCUGCCACUACUAGAGUAGUAUGCGAACAUCAGUUCUUAUAACACAACCGCACACACAUGGAUACCACGGCAAGUUCCAACACAGGGCGCUAACGCUGAUAGAUGUACGGGAGACCAACUUAUAGUAGCCAAUGUGGCAAAUCAAGGACCAUCAUGCAGCACGUGGCAACAGGCGGCAACCGGGUACUUGCCAUCAACGUCGUACACAGGUGAGUCGUAUGAAGUGAUUUUGUGGAUAGUGAAUCACAAAAAGGAACACAGGUGACAUUGGUGUUUACGCGGUGUCAAGACAAAACACAGUUUGAUGAGGACAUCAAUACCAUUGUUACACCCACAACCCCUAUUGUUACAUAUACUGGACCAAUUACUAGAGC